AGAGUUUGAUCCUGGCUCAGGAUGAACGCUAGCUACAGGCUUAACACAUGCAAGUCGAGGGGAAACGAUAUUGGAAGCUUGCUUCCGAUAGGCGUCGACCGGCGCACGGGUGAGUAACGCGUAUCCAACCUGCCCACCACUUGGGGAUAACCUUGCGAAAGUAAGACUAAUACCCAAUGAUAUCUCUAGAAGACAUCUGAAAGAGAUUAAAGAUUUAUCGGUGAUGGAUGGGGAUGCGUCUGAUUAGCUUGUUGGCGGGGUAACGGCCCACCAAGGCAACGAUCAGUAGGGGUUCUGAGAGGAAGGUCCCCCACAUUGGAACUGAGACACGGUCCAAACUCCUACGGGAGGCAGCAGUGAGGAAUAUUGGUCAAUGGACGAGAGUCUGAACCAGCCAAGUAGCGUGCAGGAAGACGGCCCUAUGGGUUGUAAACUGCUUUUAUAAGGGAAUAAAGUGAGUCUCGUGAGACUUUUUGCAUGUACCUUAUGAAUAAGGACCGGCUAAUUCCGUGCCAGCAGCCGCGGUAAUACGGAAGGUCCGGGCGUUAUCCGGAUUUAUUGGGUUUAAAGGGAGCGUAGGCCGGAGAUUAAGCGUGUUGUGAAAUGUAGAUGCUCAACAUCUGAACUGCAGCGCGAACUGGUUUCCUUGAGUACGCACAAAGUGGGCGGAAUUCGUGGUGUAGCGGUGAAAUGCUUAGAUAUCACGAAGAACUCCGAUUGCGAAGGCAGCUCACUGGAGCGCAACUGACGCUGAAGCUCGAAAGUGCGGGUAUCGAACAGGAUUAGAUACCCUGGUAGUCCGCACGGUAAACGAUGGAUGCCCGCUGUUGGUCUGAAUAGGUCAGCGGCCAAGCGAAAGCAUUAAGCAUCCCACCUGGGGAGUACGCCGGCAACGGUGAAACUCAAAGGAAUUGACGGGGGCCCGCACAAGCGGAGGAACAUGUGGUUUAAUUCGAUGAUACGCGAGGAACCUUACCCGGGCUUGAAU
rnacentral:rRNA from 1 species